GACGGAGGGUGCUAGCGUUGUUCGGAAUGACUGGGCGUAAAGGGCGCGUAGGCGGCCGCUUGCGUCGGAUGUGAAAGCCCGGGGCUCAACCCCGGAACGGCAUCCGAUACGGGGCGGCUCGAGACCGAGAGAGGUGAGUGGAAUACCCAGUGUAGAGGUGAAAUUCGUAGAUAUUAGGAAGAACACCAGUGGCGAAGGCGGCUCACUGGCCCGGUACUGACGCUGAGGCGCGAAAGCGUGGGGAGCGAACAGG
rnacentral:rRNA from 1 species